UAUUUCUGUUCCCCAUUCAUGCAGAGGACUGUGAUCUAGGACAGUGAUCUGUUUAAGUGUGUGUGUAGCACGUGUGUCCAUGCACAAGUAUGAAGUCCAGAGGACAUUCACUGUCAUUCCUCGAUUCCUCAUCUUGCUUUCUGUGACUGGGUCUCUCAUUGCACUGGAGACUGCCAAGCAGGGUGCUGGGAUAACAAGCAAGUUCCAGGACAUCUGGUUCAUCCCAUACUGAGGACAGAACCAGAUCUUCAUGCAUGCUAGGCAAGUUCUUUGCCAGCUGAGUCCUGGCUCCAGAAAUUUUCUUAUCAUUAUUCCCUAAACAAUGACUAUUCAAACAACAUUUACACUGUCUCGGGUAUUAUAAGGCAUGAUUUAUUCAUCUGCAUUUAUUUACUUCUGGUGCUGGGAAUGAAACCCAGAGUCUUACAUAUGGCAGGCAGGAUUGAAGAGAUGACCCAUCAGUUAAGAGCACCAACUUU